rnacentral:rRNA from 1 species
GACGAACGCUGGCGGCGUGCUUAACACAUACAAGUCGAACGGAAAGGCCCUGCUUUUGUGGGGUGCUCGAGUGGCGAACGGGUGAGUAACACGUGAGUAACCUGCCCUUGACUUUGGGAUAACUUCAGGAAACUGGGGCUAAUACCGGAUAGGAGCUCCUGCUGCAUGGUGGGGGUUGGAAAGUUUCGGCGGUUGGGGAUGGACUCGCGGCUUAUCAGCUUGUUGGUGGGGUAGUGGCUUACCAAGGCUUUGACGGGUAGCCGGCCUGAGAGGGUGACCGGCCACAUUGGGACUGAGAUACGGCCCAGACUCCUACGGGAGGCAGCAGUGGGGAAGAUUGCACAAUGGGCGGAAGCCUGAUGCAGCAACGCCGCGUGCGGGAUGACGGCCUUCGGGUUGUAAACCGCUUUCGCCUGUGACGAAGCGUGAGUGACGGUAAUGGGUAAAGAAGCACCGGCUAACUACGU